rnacentral:rRNA from 1 species
AGAGUUUGAUUCUGGCUCAGGAUGAACGCUGGCGGCGUGCUUAACACAUGCAAGUCGAACGAGGUCCAACCUUCGGGUGAAGACCGAGUGGCGAACGGGUGGGUAACACGUGGGGAACCUGCCCUUCUCUCUGGGAUAACCUCGGGAAACCGAAGCUAAUACCGGAUACUCCUUGCGGACCGCAUGGUCUGCUCGGGAAAGCUCCGGCGGAGAAGGAUGGCCCCGCGGCCCAUUAGCUUGUUGGUGGGGUAACGGCCCACCAAGGCGACGAUGGGUAGCCGAGCUGAGAGGCUGAUCGGCCACACUGGGACUGAGACACGGCCCAGACUCCUACGGGAGGCAGCAGUGGGGAAUCUUGCGCAAUGGGCGAAAGCCUGACGCAGCAACGCCGCGUGCGGGAUGAAGGCUCUCGGGUCGUAAACCGCUUUCAGCAGGGAUGAAAAUGACAGUACCAGCAGAAGAAGCCCCGGCUAAAUACGUGCCAGCAGCCGCGGUAAUACGUAUGGGGCAAGCGUUAUCCGGAUUCAUUGGGCGUAAAGCGCGCGUAGGCGGCUUGUUAAGUCAGGCGUGAAAUCCGGGGGCUCAACCCGCGGCUUGCGUCUGAAACUGGCAGGCUUGAGUCUGGUAGAGGAAAGUGGAAUUCCUGGUGUAGCGGUGAAAUGCGCAGAUAUCAGGAGGAACACCAGUGGCGAAGGCGGCUUUCUGGGCCACGACUGACGCUGAGGCGCGAAAGCUAGGGGAGCGAACAGGAUUAGAUACCCUGGUAGUC